rnacentral:rRNA from 1 species
AUUGAACGCUGGCGGCAGGCCUAACACAUGCAAGUCGAGCGGAGCGGCGGCAGGGUGAGUAAUGCCUAGGAAUCUGCAUGGUAGUGGGGGAUAAGGUCCGGAAACGGGAGCUAAUACAGCCUCCUCUCAGCUGAGCAUAAGUCGGAUUAGCUAGUUGGGGGGGUAAAGGCCUACCAAGGAGACGAUCCGUAACGGGUCUGAGAGGAUGAUCAGUCACACUGGAACUUAGACACGGUCCAGACUCCUACGGGAGGCAGCAGUGGGGAAUAUUGGACACUGGGCGAAAGCCUGAUCCAGCCAUGCCGCGUGUGUGAAGAAGGUCUUCGGAUUGUAAAGCACUUUAAGUUGGGAGGCGUUACCAACAGAAUAAGCACCGGCUAACUACGUGCCAGCCGCCGCGGUAAUAC